AUUGAACGCUGGGCGGCAUGCUUUACACAUGCAAGUCGGACGGCAGCACAGAGAAGCUUGCUUCUUGGGUGGCGAGUGGCGAACGGGUGAGUAACGCAUCGGAACGUACCGAGUAGUGGGGGAUAACUGUCCGAAAGGAUGGCUAAUACCGCAUACGCUUUGAGAAGGAAAGCGGGGGAUCUUCGGACCUCGCGCUAUUCGAGCGGCCGAUGUCUGAUUAGCUAGUUGGUGGGGUAAAGGCCUACCAAGGCGACGAUCAGUAGCGGGUCUGAGAGGAUGAUCCGCCACACUGGGACUGAGACACGGCCCAGACUCCUACGGGAGGCAGCAGUGGGGAAUUUUGGACAAUGGGCGCAAGCCUGAAUCCAGCCAUGCCGCGUGUCUGAAGAAGGCCUUCGGGUUGUAAAGGACUUUUGUCAGGGGAAGAAAAGCUUUGGGUUAAUACCCUGGAGUGAUGACGGUACCUGAAGAAUAAGCACCGGCUAACUACGUGCCAGCAGCCGCGGUAAUACGUAGGGUGCGAGCGUUAAUCGGAAUUACUGGGCGUAAAGCGAGCGCAGACGGUUUGUUAAGCAGGAUGUGAAAUCCCCGGGCUCAACCUGGGAACUGCGUUCUGAACUGGCAGGCUAGAGUAUGUCAGAGGGGGGUAGAAUUCCACGUGUAGCAGUGAAAUGCGUAGAGAUGUGGAGGAAUACCGAUGGCGAAGGCAGCCCCCUGGGAUAAUACUGACGUUCAUGCUCGAAAGCGUGGGUAGCAAACAGGAUUAGAUACCCUGGUAGUCCACGCCCUAAACGAUGUCAAUUAGCUGUUGGGGUACUUGAUACCUUAGUAGCGUAGCUAACGCGUGAAAUUGACCGCCUGGGGAGUACGGUCGCAAGAUUAAAACUCAAAGGAAUUGACGGGGACCCGCACAAGCGGUGGAUGAUGUGGAUUAAUUCGAUGCAACGCGAAGAACCUUACCUGGUCUUGACAUGUACGGAAUCCUCCAGAGACGGAGGAGUGCCUUCGGGAGCCGUAACACAGGUGCUGCAUGGCUGUCGUCAGCUCGUGUCGUGAGAUGUUGGGUUAAGUCCCGCAACGAGCGCAACCCUUGUCAUUAGUUGCCAUCAUUUAGUUGGGCACUCUAAUGAGACUGCCGGUGACAAACCGGAGGAAGGUGGGGAUGACGUCAAGUCCUCAUGGCCCUUAUGACCAGGGCUUCACACGUCAUACAAUGGUCGGUACAGAGGGUAGCCAAGCCGCGAGGUGGAGCCAAUCCCAAAAAACCGAUCGUAGUCCGGAUUGCACUCUGCAACUCGAGUGCAUGAAGUCGGAAUCGCUAGUAAUCGCAGGUCAGCAUACUGCGGUGAAUACGUUCCCGGGUCUUGUACACACCGCCCGUCACACCAUGGGAGUGGGGGAUACCAGAAGUAGGUAGGGUAACCGCAAGGAGCCCGCUUACCACGGUAUGCUUCAUGACUGGGGUGAAGUCGUACA
rnacentral:rRNA from 1 species